UACGUAGGGUGCGAGCGUUAAUCGGAAUUACUGGGCGUAAAGCGUGCGCAGGCGGUAAGUUAAGUCUGAUGUGAAAGCCCCGGGCUCAACCUGGGAAUGGCAUUGGAAACUGGCUUGCUGGAGUGUGGCAGAGGGGGGUGGAAUUCCGCGUGUAGCAGUGAAAUGCGUAGAGAUGCGGAGGAACGCCGAUGGCGAAGGCAGCUCGCUGGGACGUUACUGACGCUGAGACGCGAAAGCGUGGGGAGCAAACAGG
rnacentral:rRNA from 1 species